GAUCCAUUGUGGAGAGCUCGAAACUCUCAGAUCACACUGUGCAUCGGAUCUUUCAUCUUACUGCUUUUAUAGCCAUCGAUCUUUAUACACGCACUACUUCAAAGCAAUUAUAUAACAUUACGAGUAAUGCGAUGAGCCUCCUCCCCAUCCUUUUUCCAUUUACCUACUACCAUUACAACUUCAUAUUUUUGGUUUUUCCGUGGGAAUUCCAGUUUCACGCGUUCAUGCGCACUGUAAUGUUGUUUUCAAGUGAAUUCAGUGUACUCGUUUAUCGCUUUAUCAAUUAUCACAAAAUCGGUCUGCAAUCGUGGCAAGAUAUGUCCUUGGAGCAGGGGUGAAGGAGCUGACCGCUGGUAAACAGCGCAGCGGCUUGGCAACAGGAUGAUCCCGCUAGGUCAAGACUCGACACUACGAAGUACCGAGAACCGUUAGACUCGGAACCGAGCAUCUAGAUUCCAGAAGAUCCUUUGGGAUGCGACUGUAUGAUACUUCGCUAGCAUGGAACCGAACAAUGACCGGUCUCUAACAAACGACUUUUCACUAAGUGCCGAAUGUAGGCUUAUUGCAAAGAAACUUGCUGAAUAACAAAAUAAAAAUUACAUUCCCGAACAGAUUUAAAUAUUUAUAGCCUAC
rnacentral:misc_RNA from 1 species